AAUGCUCAAAUCUGGAUGUUUUUUUGUGAAAAAAGCUAAUUGGCAUAGCACCUCAAUUAUGAUGCUCUCUGUUACCACAUUUGAGCAUUUGGUAAAUGCAAUAUUGAGUUUUAGUGGGUUACAGGUAUAUUUGAUACAAUGACUUGAGCAGCUUAGGAUGUAUUGUUUGUGCAUAUUCUAGAAUUUUUAUGUCCUCUGAAAGGUUGGUACAGAAAUAUCACGAUAACCAAGCUUGGAGUGUUCUUUUUUAUUCCAAAAUUAUUUUCUCUUUUGUACAACCUGCCUAGAAGUUAUGCGUCCUAGAAAGCUCAAAAUAGUAGGCUGAAGUUCCAUUAUUCAGCUUGGAUAAUUUUAAAUCACCCCCAUUUGCUAAUUGACAAAGCUAUUAUGGCCUAGUUAAAUUUGAUGCUAAUGAAGCAAUUACAUUUUUUUCAUUCCAUACAUUAGUUGUGCUUGAGGUCGACUAAUUGAUAAUCCUGGGAAAUUGAACUUUGCCAUAUGGGGUUGUGUUUCGCUGAAAUCGAGCUUCACUACCUUUUAGAUUGAAUUCAUUUGCUACCAAAAAAACUACAAAGGAGCUGUUUGUCAAUAUUCAGAUUUUACAGUGCUUAGUUCUGCGUACUUCCUGAUUACUUGUAGGCUGUUACCAUACUAAUGAAUAAGUUAGCUUCCAUUUUUUGCAAUUCUACUCCAUAUGUAUGUAAACUGUCAUGCUUAGACCAACUAGAACAUUAACUAAAACUUCUUGUCUUACUCAACAAAUAGAAUCUGCUCUGGUUACAUUGAGUAGAACUGUGAUGAUAUGAAACUAGCUGCUGCUUUACCAUGUCCUUUUUUCAGAUAACAAAACCAUGUGCUAUACUAUGAGCUAGCUAUUGCAGUAAAGCAAACUAAGGGGGUGUUUGAGACAGCUCUGCUUCCAUUUUUUCAGCUCCCCUCCAGCUCUGCAGUGCCAAACACGUCCAACUCCAAAAACUCGGCUCCCCAAAAAAGGUGGAGCUAGAGGCCAACUUAUUUUAGAUUCUGUACAUAUAUUUUUUUGUCUCUAGUGUAAUCUGAAUACCGUACAUCUAUUUUUUGUUUCAAGGAUGAGGAAGCUAGCUGGGUGAUGGCCACGCUGUUGAGGGCUCACUCUGUCUGCCUGUUACCACAAGUGCAGUUUUCAGUAUGGUUCUGUUGGUGGGCGCUGCCUACUGAUGCCUGUACAUCUCCCUUGGGUAAGGAAGCAAAUGACUCUGUGCAAGUAUGAUUUAUGUUUGUUCAAGCAUCUUGAAUGGUUAAAUUACUAAUUUGUAAGCUCCUGCAUUCAUGUCCCUGCUUAUAUUACCUCAAGACUGAACAAUUUCUUGUAGUAUACUUUUUAAUUAGUCAGUGCAGUUUAGGACUUAGUAGCUGCAGAUCUAGGUGAUUCCGUGCAUAGCUUGGUAGUUGCAAUAGACGCUUUCAGAUUUCAUUUUUGGUCACUUCGGUAGCAGCAAGAGAACUGGGAAGCUGCCUUUGGUAAUUGUAGUUACUACAGUGAAUGUACCAUGUUCUGGAUGCAUGUGCUUGCUUAGUUGUUCAAUAUUCAAGUUUAUCCAAAUUAAUCAAAUAACUACUAAUCUUUCUUUCUUAGUGCGUGUAUUGGCUGUAGUGGCAGUAGUAAAGCAGCAUGUUAAAUGCUUCUGUGAGCUAGCAUUAUAUAUACUCUACUGAAAUUUAACAGUGUCAAUGCUAUAUAGGCUACAAAAAACUUGCAAUGUCAAUUUUGGAAUACUAGAUCUGCAGUAUGACAAGUUAAUGACAACUAGUGACAUUAGAUUAAUUAUCAGUGCGAGUACUAUGUUUGUUUCUUAAUUUCAUCAUGAACAUGUACGAACCAUGAGAUUUGUAUGGUGUUCUGACUUGAUUCCUUGUUCAAUGUUAGGUAUAUUCGAUGACAGUUUUGAUUGAUAUAGGUGGCCAUUCCUGGACAGCAAGCAUAGCGCGCAAAUGUUAGAUUAGCUAAUUCUAGAAUCUACCCCCUCCUGAUGUGUUUAACACAACUUUUUGUAACCUGCUUGAUGUGUCGGGUGAAUUGUUUUGGUUUAUGGAAUGACAAUGGGAUGUGAGCUAUAUUAUGUAUGGUUGUUGAUGUAAGAAGCAUACUACAUUUAUAAACCUUGAUGCUUGGAGAACCUAUUCUGUCAGAAUGUCUAGUUAUUGACUUUAUUAUGUAAUUAAUUAUAUGGUUUAUUAUUUAUGAUGAUUUUCAAAUGUGCCAGCCCAUAAUAUAAGCUUGGA
rnacentral:lncRNA from 1 species